AGUAGAAAAAGGGGCCAGCACAACCGAAAAUCCUUUACUGAUCAAGGCAGUCUUAAAAUGCAAUCUUAUGUGGACAAGGGGACGGACACUAAGAAGGGGAUGUAUUGUCUGCGUGUGUUGCCUUCACACCUUUGAAUUCUAAAGGGAUGGCAGGGGCAGCUAACAGAGAGCAGAGAGGAGGCAUCCGGAAUCCCAUGUGGCACAUUUAUGUCAACUGCAUGUCAAUCAGAUGCAAGUGAAGACUAAGCAGUUCCAGCACGGGAACCUCUGAAAAUCAAGGUAAGACAGUUCAUCCCUUGCUUGAAACUGUGGGCAACAUCACUGGGAGAAAUACUUUGUGGCUAUCACUUGCUCCACUGUUGAGUGUGAGGUGGUGAUGUGGGCAAAUGAAGGGGUGCCAGAGUAUGAAUCACAAGGUCAGAGUCUGCAACUUAGAAGUGUGCAACUUCUAAGGCCUAAGAGCCUUGGUUUCCCCAUCUCUGGUGUGAGAUAGUCAUAGUAUCCUCUUUACUGCAUAAAAUUGUUUCUAAGAUCAAAUGAAAUAAGGGCUCUAAGAUCCAACUGCAAAUGGUUAACAAGUUUACCCAUGUUUGUGUGUAGGGGGUCAUUUUAUAGAGGAGAUGAUAAUUUCUCAUCAGUUCUCUGGCAGCCAACCUGCUCUGCAUGAUACAUCUCUGGUACAGCCGUGCACACACGACAUGCUUUUUACUAUGUGUAUGUAUUUAGAAGUAGAGUCACCUAGAGGUAACCACCAAUGCAGGAUAUGAUACUGCAAGUCAGCGAAGUCCUGCUUCCUCAAGAAAUCCCCAAACACGUCAUUGUGUUUUCCUAGUUUCAACUACUAAGAUGUUCGUAAUUAACUUAGUCUUGUUAGCAGUCAGGGAAAAGGCAUUGAUUUUUCACUUUUUGGAGACACAGAGUCUUUUGAACUAUUGAGAAGGAAGAAUCCCUAAAGGGCAAGAGGAACCCAACCUUAAUACAUGCAAACUGCAGUUCAUUUAAAACCACCCUAGCAGUUUACAAAGACUUAGGUGACAGCCCAGGUUUAAAUAUUUAGUCGUUUGGUUAUUUGGCAUUCUGCCACUUAAACAUACAGAUGAUUGAUUUCAUUUUUAAAUCACUAGACCACAUCAUCCUGAUGUUUUGGCAUUUUGCCCAUUGCCUCAGCAUGUGCUUUUAAAGAGAGCUCUCUAUUGCCGUCUCAUGGUGAAUGAGUGAAUGGCUGGGAUUAGGAGACAAAACUGGCUACCACCACUAAGCAGGUAAAUUUUGGGUAAUGGGAUAAUCUUGGGUAAUGAAUGUGUGUGGGCCUCAGUUUUCUCUUUUAUAAAUUGCAAGUUGAAUUUAAUUAUAAAAGUCUGUAACUUUAGAGCUGUCUACUUGGCAAAGAAAAUGCUCAGGAUUCUGUAACUUUGCAUAAAGCCAUGCAUUUUGACUUCUGUGCAGUUUUCAUUUUGACUUCUAGUACUCCCUGAGUCACAGGUUCAAGUAAUUUAUAAGGAUUUCAUAUCAUCCUUAUGAAUUAAUACACCCUUAUACUCUUCCUGUCCCAGGGCUUGGAAACAACUUCUUUUUUUGAAUACAGUGAGGUCAUUCUUCGUGAGGAUAAUUAAAAGCUUUUGCCAUCAACAAACAAAACAGGUUUUAAUCAAAAAGUUGAAUGUGGAGAUUCCUUCUCUGAAAUUGAAUAAAUCAGGUACAAACCAGAAUGCAGAUAUGGAAGAUCAAAGUGGAAAUUACCUCUGCUGCUCCCUUGAAGAGCAAAUUGUUUUAUUGACUUUUCUUCAGUGUAUUCUUUUUCUGCCUUGUAGGGGUUUUUCUUAUUUGCAUUUUUUUUUAAAAAAAUGGAAUUUGAUGAUCU
ensembl:lncRNA